rnacentral:rRNA from 1 species
CAGCCGCCACGGUAAUACGAAGGGUGCAAGCGUUAAUCGGAAUUACUGGGCGUAAAGCGUGCGUAGGCGGUUUGUUAAGUCUGCUGUGAAAUCCCCGGGCUCAACCUGGGAAUGGCAGUGGAUACUGGCAAGCUAGAGUGUGUCAGAGGAUGGUGGAAUUCCCGGUGUAGCGGUGAAAUGCGUAGGGAUCGGGAGGAACAUCAGUGGCGAAGGCGGCCAUCUGGGACAACACUGACGCUGAGGCACGAAAGCGUGGGUAGCAAACAGGCUUAGAUACCCGAGUAGUCCCUGUCUCUUAUAC